GACGAACGCUGGCGGCGUGCUUAACACAUGCAAGUCGAACGGGAUCCAAAGGCUUUUUGUUUUUGGUGAGAGUGGCGAACGGGUGAGUAACACGUGAGUAACCUGCCCCCUUCUUUUGGAUAACCGCAUGAAAGUGUGGCUAAUACAGGAUAUUCCAGGCUGGUCGCAUGAUUGGUUUGGGAAAUGGUUUGGUCUGGUGGGGGAUGGGCUCGCGGCCUAUCAGGUUGUUGGUGGGGUGAUGGCCUACUGAGGCGGUGACGGGUAGCCGGCCUGGGAGGGUGGGCGGUCACACUGGGACUGAGAUACGGCCCAGACUCCUACGGGAGGCGGCAGUGGGGGAUUUUGCACAAUGGGCGGAAGCCUGAUGCAGCGACGCCGCGUGAGGGAUGAAGGCCUUCGGGUUGUAAACCUCUUUCGCUGGGUUGAAAGGCCAUGCUUUGGGUGUGGUUGAUUUGAACUGGUAAAGAAGUACCGGCUAACUACGUG
rnacentral:rRNA from 1 species